GAAAAUUGAGAGAUUGAACAUGGAAAUAGAGCAGCUGCGAGAGAAUUCAACAUUAAUGAAUCAAUGCUACGGAAGUGGAGGAAGCAAGAAGAAGGAAGCAUAAAGUCAUCACAGCUGACUCUGGACGGGAUGUUACUGUGCCAUGUCAAGCUCCAAACAACAACAACAACUUAGUUGCCCCAAACAACAAGAGCUCAAACCUCACACCUGUUUCUCACCUGCAGGUCAGACAGGAGGAGACACAGAGGAUGGAUCUUUUGGACUGAUCCUUCGUCUGUCAGUUCCUGUUGUGGUUCUGGUGUUAAUUAUCUUUAAACUACAUAAACA
ensembl:lncRNA